rnacentral:rRNA from 1 species
CCUACGGGAGGCAGCAGUGGGGGAUAUUGCACAAUGGGGGAAACCCUGAUGCAGCGACGCCGCGUGAGUGAAGAAGUAUUUCGGUAUGUAAAGCUCUAUCAGCAGGGAAGCAAAUGACAGUACCUGACCAAGAAGCCCCGGCUAACUACGUGCCAGCAGCCGCGGUAAUACGUAGGGGGCCAGCGUUAUCCGGAUUUACUGGGUGGAAAGGGAGCGUAGACGGUUAUGUAAGGCUGGAGGGAAAGCCGGGGGCCCAACCCCGGGACUGCUUUGGAAACUGUGGAUCUGGAGUGCAGGAGGGGCAGGCGGAAUGCCUGGUGUAGCGGUGAAAUGCGUAGAUAUCAGGAAGAACACCGGCGGCGAAGGCAGCCUGCUGGACUGAAACUGACGUUGAGGCUCGAAAGCGUGGGGAGCGAACAGGAUUAGAUACCCUUGUAGUC